GUGUCUCACGCACAAUGUCCUAAGUACUAAUUAUUCGUGCAAUAAAGCGUACGCACUACAAGGCGUACGCACGGCUCUGUUCGCACUCAAUUGUUCGUACAAAACUGUUCGUACGUUGUUAUUGACAUUCAAAUAAAAAGCGGCCGAAUAAAUCACAUCACAAUCAAUCAGUCAAUAUGCAGUGUAAAGCAGACAUCGUUGGGAUCCUUGACAUGGACGGAUUUCAAAUUGGAAAGAUUUUUUUCUGUAAGGAGUUGGGAGUCAUAAAGGUCGGAGACUCUGAAGCCUCGUCGUUCUUUUUCGAUAUUGGCUUACACUGGAACGAGC
rnacentral:lncRNA from 1 species